rnacentral:lncRNA from 1 species
GAUCUUUUCGGGUGCUGCAUAUAGAAUUAUCAUGAUAUCUAUGCAUAAGAAUGAAAAAUCCCAGUCAAACUGAAUUGAUAUUUCAAACAGGUGCUUAGGUCACAAGAAGGUUACGAGGAAGGAAAUUGCUAAUUAAUCAGCAAAUUCAUCAAGAUGCUUAAGAUGACUGGUUUUCAAUCAACUUCAGUAUGUGUCAUCUGUACAAAAAUUAUAUUUAAUCAACAUAAUAGAUUAAUACGAUGUUGAGAAGGAUUACUUUUUCUUAAAUCGCCCUUACAAAAAAAUUCUAAAUAAAGUAAUAGCAGAAAUUUUUUAAUUCAUAUAAACUUAAGUUGAUAAAUACCAGUGAAAUUAAUCAUACACUGUAAAAAAUUCCGAAUUAAAUUACGGUAUAAGUACCGGAACAUUGGUUGCAUCAUCCAUAUAACCCAUUUUAUCCUAAGAACUAUCUUUACCCUAAAAUAUUUUACCGUAAUUGUUAAAGUAAUAUUUACUAUAAAAAUUAUGGUUUAAUAGAAUACUUGCUCCGUAACAUGAUUUGGUAAAAAUGAAUUUUACAGUAAAAAGGUACUUAUUACAGUAAUUUAAACCGGAUUUUUUUACAGAGUAGAUAAGGAUGCAUUCUUAGACUGCUGUAUGCAUAUUUAAUUAUCUAAAUUGUUAAGAGAAACCAUAAAAACACUUUUCGAAUAGCCAAAUAAUUUUUAUUUGAUUACUUAUUUGUUGUUCUUCCAAUAAUAAUAUAUUACAGUAGAGAACCGAUUAUCCGGAACAAUCGGGACUAUCGCUA